rnacentral:rRNA from 1 species
CGUAGGGUGCAGGCGUUAAUCGGAAUUACUGGGCGUAAAGCGUGCGCAGGCGGCUCCUUAAGUCAGAUGUGAAAGCCCCGGGCUUAACCUGGGAACUGCGUUUGAAACUGGGGAGCUUGAGUGUGGAAGAGGGGGUGGAAUUCCAGGUGUAGCAGUGAAAUGCGUAGAGAUCUGGAGGAACACCGAUGGCGAAGGCAGCCCCCUGGGCUAACACUGACGCUCAUGCACGAAAGCGUGGGGAGCAAACAGGAUUAGAUACCCUGGUAGUCCACGCCCUAAACGAUGUCAACUGGUUGUCGGGGAAGUAAUUCCUUGGUAACGAAGCUAACGCGUGAAGUUGACCGCCUGGGGAGUACGGCCGCAAGGCUA